AGUAACGCGUAGGUAACCUGCCUUGUAGCGGGGGAUAACUAUUGGAAACGAUAGCUAAUACCGCAUAACAAUGGAUGACACAUGUCAUUUAUUUGAAAGGGGCAAUUGCUCCGCUACAAGAUGGACCUGCGUUGUAUUAGCUAGUAGGUGAGGUAAUGGCUCACCUAGGCGACGAUACAUAGCCGACCUGAGAGGGUGACCGGCCACAUUGGGACUGAGACACGGCCCAAACUCCUACGGGAGGCAGCAUG
rnacentral:rRNA from 1 species